GUGCCCUGUGCCUGGGUGAGUGAGGUGUGCAAGGUGGGCCUCUGUUCUGCUGCCAGCCCAGCCAAUGAUGGCAAGGACAGAGGGUUCAAAGCUCUGACCCCCAUUGUAAACAGGGGGCAGAGGAGCCGCCCACCUGAGCAGCAUCAGAUCCAUGCAAAGUGCCAGGUGGAGGUGAAACACAGCCAGCGACACGACUGUUGGUAUUUCGGGUCAACUCACCUUGAGCUGGAGGGAGCAGUCAGCCUCCAAGAAGGCACGACGUGACACAGUCCAGACCCCUUGCCCGCCUCUGCUGGCGUUUCCUCAUCAGCAAAAUGUGGAGAUAACAGCGCCUACCUAAUUGGGAUGCUGUGAGGAUUGAGAGAAUACACAGAAACAGCUUAGAACACUACCUCAAUUGUUCUACACACACCUGAGUUGGCAAGUGUGUGAAGUAACCUCCUCCGAGUCCUGGACUGUGGACAGUGAUGCCACCUUUUGGCACAACUCCCCUAGAAUUUAAGGAGACCAAGACAUUGUGAAAACCAAGUGUCUCCCACCUUGCCAGGACCUAUAAAGUCAAGGGCGGUGCUGGCAUAUUUUGUUCCUGUGACAGGGGCUGAUGAGGUCACUGUGGGAAUCACAGCAAGUCCAAGUCCAUGAGGCUUAGGGAGAAGGCUGUGCAUCACCCUCAUGGGCCGGGAGCUCCAGGAACAGCUUUCCCAGAUUUACGCUGAGGGAGUCCUGAAUCCAGGAAGGAGGUUCCAUGGCCACCUGGCACCAUGUGUCAAUCUCCCAGGUCUGUGAGUACUCUGGUCUCAGCCAGCUGAGGAAGCCGUGGGUCAACAUGAAAAUGCACACC
rnacentral:lncRNA from 10 species